rnacentral:rRNA from 1 species
AUGCAAUUUGACCGCGACUCAGAAGAAAGUUACCAGGAGAAAAGGACAAAACUAGGCGGGAUUGUCCUGAAGCAAAAUAUCCCAAUUGAGGCACAUGCAUCGCAAGUUUAUACCAGGACAAUGUUUGAGAAAUUAGGUGAAGCACUGUAUGAGUGUGGGUCGUAUGAUCUAAUAGAAGUCAAGCCGUGCUUGGAGUACAUUGCUAGGCACAUCAAAUUUCAGUCCAGGGAAAAAUGGUGCAAGAAUAAAUUUAUGAUCUCCGUGAGCGAGACAGCUGAUGAGUUCAGGUGCGAGUGUGGAACAUUUGAGCACUAUGAAAUGGUUUGCAGCCAUGCACUUAAGGUCAUGAUACAUCUAAACUGCAUGAACUCCCUGCUAAACAUGCACUCAAGGGAUGGACUAGCUAGAGAUGCAAGAGAUAUGCUACCGCUAGAGUAUUUGCACUACCAGAAGGAUCAUGCGCCGCUGAAGUAUGCGAGAUGUCGAAGGGUUGGUCGAGCCAGUUGUCGCCGUGAGGGAUGGGCUUGGUUUGUCUGA